ACGCUGGCGGCAUGCCUAACACAUGCAAGUCGAACGAAGGCUUCGGCCUUAGUGGCGCACGGGUGCGUAACGCGUGGGAAUCUGCCCCUUGGUUCGGAAUAACAGUUGGAAACGACUGCUAAUACCGGAUGAUGACGUAAGUCCAAAGAUUUAUCGCCGAGGGAUGAGCCCGCGUAGGAUUAGGUAGUUGGUGUGGUAAAGGCGCACCAAGCCGACGAUCCUUAGCUGGUCUGAGAGGAUGAUCAGCCACACUGGGACUGAGACACGGCCCAGACUCCUACGGGAGGCAGCAGUGGGGAAUAUUGGACAAUGGGCGAAAGCCUGAUCCAGCAAUGCCGCGUGAGUGAUGAAGGCCUUAGGGUUGUAAAGCUCUUUUACCCGGGAUGAUAAUGACAGUACCGGGAGAAUAAGCUCCGGCUAACUCCGUGCCAGCAGCCGCGGUAAUACGGAGGGAGCUAGCGUUAUUCGGAAUUACUGGGCGUAAAGCGCACGUAGGCGGCUUUGUAAGUAAGAGGUGAAAGCCCAGAGCUCAACUCUGGAAUUGCCUUUUAGACUGCGUCGCUUGAAUCAUGGAGAGGUCAGUGGAAUUCCGAGUGUAGAGGUGAAAUUCGUAGAUAUUCGGAAGAACACCAGUGGCGAAGGCGGCUGACUGGACAUGUAUUGACGCUGAGGUGCGAAAGCGUGGGGAGCAAAC
rnacentral:rRNA from 1 species